rnacentral:rRNA from 1 species
GAUGAACGCUGGCGGCGUGCCUAAUACAUGCAAGUCGAGCGAACAGAUGAGGAGCUUGCUCCUCUGACGUUAGCGGCGGACGGGUGAGUAACACGUGGAUAACCUACCUAUAAGACUGGGAUAACUUCGGGAAACCGGAGCUAAUACCGGAUAAUAUAUUGAACCGCAUGGUUCAAUAGUGAAAGACGGUUUUGCUGUCACUUAUAGAUGGAUCCGCGCCGCAUUAGCUAGUUGGUAAGGUAACGGCUUACCAAGGCAACGAUGCGUAGCCGACCUGAGAGGGGAGCCGGCCAAACGGAAACGGGAAACGGGCCCAAACCCCUACGGGGGGCAGCAGUAGGGAAUUUUCCGAAAGGGGGGAAAGCCGGAGGGAGAAACGCCGGGGGGGGGAUGAAGGUUUUGGGAUCGUAAAACUCUUUUAUUGGGAAAAAAAAAAUGUGAAAGUAACUAUCCCGGUUUUGAGGGUACCUAAUCAAAAAGCCACGGUAAACUACGG